AGAAACCAAGCUGGAGGAGCACUGUGGGUUGAGCAGCGUCUCCGAAGACUCAUGUCCACCAGUACCUGAGAAAGUGGCCUCGCUCGGAAGCAAGGCUUCUCCAUAGUGGGGCAGGCUCUCUGGACACCCCUCCGCAGUCAGGGCCCACCCAUGGCUGCCCUGCCCAGGCCUGGGCACAGCUGCACUGACUGUUCCUGGCAGCCUCACCGGUGCAGGCCACCCUGCUGCUCCAGCUCAGUCCAGCACAGGUGUUCUCGCUCUGGGGUUGGCCUGGCGCUGACCUGUGCACCUGACAGGGAAGGGACCAGCCUGUUCACCCCACACCCAGCCCUGUGACAGAGGUGCUGUCGCGUGGCCCCACUUACAGAUGGGUCAACUGAGGCCCGGGGCAUCUGUCCACUUGUCAUGACAGUGAGCGGCCAAGCUGGAUGUGAACCCAGCCCGCGUGUGCGGCCAGUGUCCCUCCGGUGACCCCAGGCCCAGGUGCCCGGCUGUUGGUCCUGCCAGCAUCGUGAGCCGUGGUCUGCCGUCCUGGCACAUCCUGAAUGGAGGUGCACGCAUAGAGGCUGCCUGUGAAUCUCCUGCGCUUCCUCAGAGGGAUUUGCCCCCUUCUGGGACGUGCCCUGGGGACGGUCAGUUCUCCCAAAUAGUGACUUCCUUUCUCCACAUAAUGAGAGCCUUUGGCUGAGGGAUUGGGAGGACCAGGAAAAAGCCGCCAGGCCACGUGGGGCGUGACUUGGCGAUCCCGGUGGCUCCGGGCGUCAGCUUGGACCUCAGACGCCCCUCACAGCUCACAGCCCUGUGGCCUGCUCUGAGGGCCCCGCCCGCCGCCGAGCCCCCGGGAGCCGGAGAACCCGCAGGACGUCAGCCGGGUGGAUUCCCUCCCACUGCCCCUGACCCCACUGCCCAGCGCCUUCAGGACUAGCGGAUGAUGGACUUGUGCUAAACUGGCUACGACCCCUCCGGAGCAGGGUCCUGGGUAAAUCAGCAGUGAGCUGCAGGCUCAGCCAGCCGCCGCCUUUGGUUUCCUCCCGCCGCCGGCUCACCCCACCUCAGACCCGAGCUAGCUCUCCAGCCUGGUUCCUCUGCCGGACCCUCCUCCCGGGCACCUCCCACGCCCCGCCCUCAAGCCCCGCCCCUCAAGCCC
rnacentral:lncRNA from 10 species